UAGAAAACUCAAGUCGAAUCACGGAUCACCCCCUCAGUUAGAGAAGGAAUAGCCCCCAGUUGGCUGGUUUUACUUUCCCAGUGGGUCUGUCUCGGGCUUGGGACCAGCUGGCUACACCAGAUCUCAGUAAAAAUUAGGAGCAACUCCAUACAUCCAUAGGAAAGUCCCUCACGUUCUUCUCUUCAAGCUAAUUUUAUAAAACUGCAUAAAAGAAGUUGGCAAUGAGAUCUUCUGUAAAGAAAUCCUGGAUCAUUUCAUUAUUACUGGAAAUAUAGUCAAGGGAAGGAGAGAUCGUCUGGAGUAUAAUUUUGCCGACCUUCCAUUGUAUGGUGACACACAAUUGCUGACAUCUACAGUCUUGCUUAAAUUCUGGUUUGUUUUGUGAUGCUCAGGGUCAAAGUUGGAAAAUUUACAAAGAAAGUAUAUUUGAGGAGAACAUAGAGAAAAAGCACUUUCUAAAAGUCCUGCAACUCAAAAGCAAUUGUGCAAGAUGGAACUACCAUAUGAAUCAUUGCAGAUGUUUACUGUGAGUAAAGCAGAUGCACAGAAUGUAAGUACGGGCAUCGCAUUUCUGUGUUUUCAUCUCUGAGGUAAUCUUCAUUUUCCCAAAUUAAUAUAUAUUGCAAUGGCUAUUCUGUAUCAUACUGAUUCCCUAGACAUGCACAAGAGACAUGAAGUGUCAGGCAAAGAUAGUAUCUUAGCAAAAGUUAAUGGUUAAAAUAGGAUCAAAACCAGAAAUCUCUCAAGAGCUCUUCAGUCAGAAAACAUCAACUCUAAGAUUGUAGCUGUGAAAAGGACUCCCUUAGUAAAGCAAUCAUACAGUGCAGGCAAAAGUCCUUUCAGUUUCUCCCAGGAGAUCCAGACAACAGUAUGAAGGAAAAGGAGGAAACGUAAAAGCGGCAAAGUGAGCUAACAAAGCAGUCCCCGGUUCCAUUAAUUUUUGUAACUUUUCACCCUAAAGCUAAUGAUCUCUGAUGCCAAAGGGUUAAAGUUAAGCAGUCCUGUAAAUGUUUUGCUCUUCUCAGUUUCUCACAUAAUUAUUAUCAGCAGAAAAAACAGUAAUAAUGUGUAACUUUGCUCCACUCCUUUUCACGUCCUUGGGUACAUCUUACUGCAAGGAAAACGAAUGAUACCUCAAAAAAAAAAUUACUCCUUCUGUCUUGCGUAUGGACAUGCAUUCCCCUCAGAGGCAGUUCCAAGCAAUGAUGGAAUCUUUAAUGAUGAACCAGUAUAUUGGGCUACCUGUCUUCCUGUGGGUCUUGUGGUCAUAACUUCAUCAGUGCCUACAGCUGAAAUAUAGAAUUGAAAGAACUCUUUAUUAUUACCUUCUGGGUUUUUUUUGCUUUGUAAAAUUUAUGUAAAGUUCUGCUAUAACACUGUUGAACAUAAAAAAAUGCAGUUGCAGAGUAUAAAGUGUUUGCUUUUAUGAAGCUUGUCCAUAAAAUAAAGGACUCACCUAGAUAAGCUUACAUGCAAACUUAACUCCUACACUGUGUAUAACUAUUAGAAGAAGCCAAGCUUUUCAGAUGAGAUGGCAUCUUCUAUUAGCUAGCUGAUAAAGUUUAAAAAUGUCAGAGAAGCUGACACAGUUCCUUCAUCAAACCAGACAAUAGAGCCAAGCUCCAUACCAAACAAAUGUUGGAAAUUGUACAAGCUUACAUCACUCUUCCUAUUGCCACAUGGGCAGUAAAUAUGUCUUGCACUAAAUUGUAACUUGUUUCAAAUAAAAAAUGACAUUUUAUUCCACAUUAACUUUUUUUGAAUACAGUAGUACAGAAGUUAAUUGUGUUAAGCAUUCCCUUCUGUAUUGCUCAUAUCUGCUUUGAAAUGUGAAAUACCUAAGUCACAAACCACGUAUCAGUGCAUGGUUUAAUUUGUCAAUAUAUAUACCAAAAGGAAGAACUAUUUAUCUAAGAAAAAAAUUACCUCUUCAGAACAGCAAGACACAAUAUAUCCCAGAAGCCACAGAGAAGAUACUCAGCACUUUGCACAUUGAAAAUUAAAAAUAUUGCACCAUGAUUUUUCUGGGAAAGGAAGAAAAAGCCUUUCUGAUACUGGAAUUAAAACUGUACAUAAAUGUUUACUAGAUUAAACUAUCCUCAAUUCCUGUAUUUAAAAUAAAUAAAUAAAUAAACAAGUAAUGCAAACACAGAGCUGUAUUUUAGGAAUGAAACUAUCUUCCACUCCUUGUAAGAGACAGUACCAAACCAUGCAAGAGAAAAUCUCCUACUCAGUUGAUCAUUCCUAAAACAGUUUUUCAGUAUGGAUCACAUAAUCAUGUAUCCCCACCAACAAAUGUAACAGAUAAAGUUUACAUUCCCUUUUCAUCCUCACUGAGGAGGGAGGCAGGCAGGCGGGGAAUAUUGAGGGAAACAUGAAAAAAAGGGGCAAUAUUCUACCUAGCAUAACCUUGCCCUUGACAUGUAGAAUCUCUUCUAGCUGGAGAGAGGCUUUGGGAGUGGUUUUUCACCACAAACCAUCUGUAAGCAGCUGUUCUCUGCCUAAAGCAGGCAGUUGCUCCUCCACCUCCUGUUGUAACUUGCAUGAGCUCUCCUGCAGAGCUCACUAAAGCACCUGGUUAAGGUUGUAAAUAGAGAGGAACUUCCAUCAUUUAUUGGAAGCUAUAAUUGUAAACCUGAAAUUAAGGGCUUGGAGGGAUUAUAGAAAAUCUUCGAGCUGCUUGAAAAAAUCAAUUAGUCCAUGAGGAAGGGCUGCAAAUAUUGGUAUUUCAGCUAGCUUUUUCUGUAUAACUCAUGAACAUUGCCUGUCAAAUCCCAUAUUCUUCACUCAGACAAACUUCUGUUGAGGAAAUGGAAUUUUGCCUGAGGAAGGACUGAACAGUCUUCUGCAGUUAAUCCUGUAAACCUGUACUGAAGGAUUUGUGGUCAUGAUAAUGCUACCUACAAUAUCUUUGCUUUCUUUAACUGCCUUUUAUGGAUCACUUAGAGGAAUCCCGUAAGAGUUUCUGGGUGAGAAAGCUGAAAACAAUUGCUAAUUUCAGUUAUUUCCUUUUAAGUACUGAAACUCUUGACAAAUGUAGUCCAUUGGCUAAGUAAUUUUUUUUUUUUUUAAUUAACAGCAAAAGACAGGAUUUUUAUAUUCUUACUUGCCCUCUGACAGGAAACUUUACUGUGGGUCUAUUCCUGCAAUGAAGUACUACAAGAUAAAUACUACAAGAGUACUAUCAUGCAACUUCAAAUUACUGCUGUUCCUUAUUAAUACUGUGUGCAUCAGAUAAGUAUCAGCUGUAUUGGAGAGGAACAGGACCUUGAAAGUGUCCUGACCUGGAUUUUACCAGUGCUGGGUAGAUUCCUAUUAUUGCUCACAAAUGAACGAAACAGAUUGUGUUUACUCUCUGUUGGAGGCACAGCACAGUGUGUUAUUGCUAUGUCUAAUGACACCAUUUGCUCAGGGCAGAACCAGACAAAAAUAAAUUGGCUGAGAUUAAUCGAACACACUUCAACUUCACAGGCCCACUAGUGUCAGAAGAAGCAAUAGAUGAAAAAAAGUAUAUCCAAGACUUCAGGAUGCAGAAAAUUCAGCUAAAGUGCUCUGAGAGAACCCAGUUCCUAUUUUACCCACAUAAGAGGUGUCUUGGUCAGAUUCCAAUCCAGUCAACUGCAUGAAGUCCAAGUCUUUCCUACAACAUGAAAGAGCAGAUACUUCUGGGAUGAUCUAAUAUUGCAAUGGGCACAGUGUAAAACCCUGAAUAGAGACCUCUCUAAUACCUGAAACCAUGCAUCUGUAUCAUGAUCAUGAAACAUAUUUAGUUUUUCUGUGUUUUGUUGAAGGAGCUGGGCUAAUUUCUGCACAGCUAGGGCUGUUGAGGACAGCAGUAAUGCUGUUAUGUGUCAAUUAAACAAUAGUCAAACCACUCUCUUUCAGUGGCACUUAAAAAGAAGUGUGAAUAAUUCCAAGUAGAAGGCCUAAAAGUAUCCUUAGGAACCUAAAUUAAUGGACUUUUGAAAGUUCUAAUUUAGUUGUUGCUAUUAAGCAUCGUAGAAAAUCAAGCUGCCAAUUUGUAUACUUUUACACAUAAAAUAUACAGAUGAACAUGUGUGUAUGCAUAUACCCAUCGUUCUCUGUUCUUCCUGUCUUCAUUCAUCAAAAAUGAUAUGUUGGAGAAAAUGCAAGAGAAUGGAUGAACUCAAAAAAUGGCAGGAUGGGAAGGAUCAGCUCCACAUAACAUAGAUGACAGUGGAUUCCUGGAUACCAUGUACUUCAUUAGAGCAUUUUCAAAGAUUGGUAAUCUAAGAAGAACUCUGCAUAUCAGACAGAACCAUCCAGUAAAGAACACAUCUGAGUCCCAGUUUUCUGUCAUUUGCAGGGAAGCCUAGAAAAAUAUCCCAUCUCAUUGCCUCACAAAAUGUUUUAUGGCUUGAAGCUUCUCAAAUCAGAAGGAAAACAAAAGUCACGUUUACUGGACAGCCAGCAUGCUGGUAUGAGCACUCCAUCCCAACAAAAUCCACACAGGAUCACAGGAGGAGCAGACCAAGAGAGGAGCCGCUGAACUACCUUUAACUAAUUGCAGUGUUUCAGAUAUCAUGGGCAAAUCCUGCAGAGAGGCUACUGAUUCUCAUCCCUGCUAUAAGACUGAAAUACCAGCCACCAAAGAGAUACAUUGUGCUUUAAUGCAGAAUGAUGGAAAUGUCACUUCACCUGUCAUUUUGCAUUCUGCUCAUCUACGGCCCCAAAUCUGAGGCCUGUGUCCUGGCUUGAGCCACUGUUUGACUUGGGUUUGAGAACAGUGCUCUUGAUCCCCUUCCCCUCCCACCCAGGUAGGGAAGGAGAGAAAAAGAGAGAGACUUUGCUGGAUUGAAAACUAAAUUACACAACAACUGAGAAGGAGAUACUUGCAGCAUAUAAAGGACUUAGAGCCUCUUCAGAAGUGAUCGGCACUGAAGCGCAGCUCCUCCUGGUGCCCAGGUUACCAGUGCUCAGAUUCAUGUUCCAGAACAACCUUUCUCCUGUCCAUCCUGCCACCGAUGUGACUUGGAGUAGAUGGACUGCUUUAAUCACCCAGUGAGCUCGAAUAGGAAGGCCUAAUCGUCCAGGUAUUGUUGAAGCAAUUACAAACUGGCCAGAAGGCACCCACUUUGGAAUGCCACCACAAGAAGUGGUGAGACAGGCUCAAGAAGCUCCACCAUAUGAUCAUCUACCAGAGACUGAGAAACAAUUUGCUCUUUUCACCGAUGGCUCCUGUCGUCUUGUAGGGAACCACCAGAAGUGGAAAGCUGCUGUGUGGAGUCCUACACGACUGGUUGCUCAAGCAGCUGAAGGAGAAGGCAGAGGUAAAAGCCAUCCAGCUGGCUUUGGACAUUGCUGAAUGAGAGGGGUGGCUGAGACUCUCUCUCUGCACUGACUCUUGGAUGACAGCAAAUGCCUUGUGGGGUUGGCUGAAGCAGUGGCAGCAGAACAACUGGCAGUGAAAGGGUAAACCUGUUUGUGUUGCUGAGCUGUGGAAAGACAUUGCGGCUCGGAUAGAGAAACUGGUGGUGAAAGUGUGUCAUGUAGAUGCACACGUGCCUCUGAGUCGAGCCACUGAGGAACAUCAAUGCAACCAAUGAGCAGAUGAGGCUGCUCAAGUGUUCCAAGUAGACUUAGACUGGGAACAUAAGGGUGAGCUCUUUCUGGCUCGAUGGGCUCAUGACACUUCAGGUCAUCAGGUCAGAGAUGUAACAUACAGAUGGGCUCGUGACUGAGGGGUGGACUUAACCAUGGACACUAUCGCACAGGUGAUCCACGACUGUGAGAUGUGUGCUGCAAUUAAGCAGGUGAAAUGGUUGAAACCAUUGUGGUAUGAGGAGACAUGGUCAAAGUACAGAUGUGGGGAGGCCUGGCAAAUUGACUACAUCACAGUGCCUCAGAUCUGCCAGGGUAAGAGCUAUGUGCUUACAAUGGUGGAAACAAGUACAGGAUGGUUGGAAACGUAUCCUGUGCCUCAUGCCAGAGCCUGGAAUACUGUCCUGGGCCUGGAGAAGCAAAUCUUGUGGAGACAUGGUACUCCAGAAAGAGUUGGGUCAGACAAUGGGACUCAUUUCAAAAACAGUGUUGUGACUGACUGGGCUAAAGAACAUGGUAUUGAGUGGAUAUACCAUCCCCUGUACCAUGCACAAGCCUCAGGGAAAGGUACAAUGGUUUGUUGAAAGCUACCCUGACGGCAAUGGGUGGUGGAACUUUCAAAAACUGGGACAAAAAUUUUGCAAAGGCCACUUGGUUAGUUAAUACCAGGGGAUCCAUCAAUUGGGCUGGUCCUGCUCAGUCAGACCUUUUACACACUGCAGAUGGGGAUAAAGCCCCUGGGGUAUGUGAAAGGAACCUGCUGGGUAAAAGCGUUUGGGUCUAUCCUGCUUCAGGCAAAGGUAAAGCUGUCUGGGGUAUUGCUUUUGCUCAGGGACCUGGACAUACCUGGUGUGUGUUGAUGGAGGAUGGUGAAGUACAAUGUGUACCUCAAGGUAACUUGACUCUGGGGGAGAAUCCUUAAUUUGACAGCUGGUAAAAUAUAGACCCUAUAUGUAAUAUAUGUUGUGGAAUAGGGUUGGAAUGUCCUGGUUUGAGCCAGGAUAAAGGCAAUUUUCCUUUUGUUAAAUAAGCUUUCUUUUAACUAGUACCAGAGUGUUCCAACCAAGACUGGUAAGAGUGGAAUGUUUUUCUAACUGCUGGGGCUUCAAGGUCACAUCUUCACUCUGCUGGCUCAGACACUAUGGGGAGAUCUAUGACCCCCCAUAGGAGGCUGAGUUAGACAGACAGCAAAACUGGCCAGAGAUAUUCCAUUCCAUAUAUCUACGUAAGCUCAGAGGAAGGUCAGAGAUCACAGAAGACAACUUCCUUCCUGCUUCUUCUUCCCUUCUCUUCCAUCCAUGGCUGGCAUCCAGGGAUGACUCAGUCCAUCCAUCACCAUCAACCCCCAGGCUCGAGCUCUCCUGACCCUCAUCACUCUCUGCUUUCUCCAGCAGCUCCGGGACUUGUCAGGACUGUUCCAGCUCAGGAGAUGCUAUGGGAGUUGCUGGGGGUGGGGGAGGCGAGAGGCUUUUAUCUGAACAUAUUUGUAUAUAAUUGUAUAUAUUUUCUUAUAUCAUUAGUAUUUAAUUAAAGCUGUUUCAAUCCA